rnacentral:pre_miRNA from 1 species
AGGAGGAACAACCGCAGUGGCGGGGCCAGCUCUGGAGCUCUGGAUUCAGCUCCCACAGUAACUAUGGAGCUCUCCGUCUGCAGGGCCUGGAGGCUCCGGGGCGGG